AUAACGAGACACAGCGAUGGUCUCCCUGCUGCCACUUGUGAUUGGGAGGGUGCUUCUCUAAGUCCUCCUGCAGGGACACCGGGCAUCAGUAUUCAAAGACAUGUCAGUGUCUCCACAGCUCCAACACCGAACCCUUCGGGAGAAACUGGAGGUCUUAACCGCAGGGUUUGAGAUGUGCCUGUCAACCUAGAUGCCCGUUUCAUCUCAUUGGGCAGGCAAUCGGCCUGGCUUCACACAGACAACCGGGAGAAGUUCUGCAGAGCGCAGAGCAGCAGGCAAGGGUACCUUGAAGACCCUCUUCCCCAGCAAAGCUACCUGCAGCCAGAUGCACUUAAAACAUCUGAUGCUUGAGAACACCCGCACAUGCCCCAGGCAGUUGGGAACAAGGACUCUGCUACCCUUCUACCCAUCACAAAGACAGCCAAGACCCCUAAGAUGGCAAAGCAGACAUCACUGUGAGCUGCUGGGUGGAGACAGUAAGUGGGGUAGAGCUGUCCUCCGUCAGCUUUAACCAAAGAAAGCCUCUCAUGGAGGCAGGACAUUCAGGUUACAGAGACGGCACCAGUUGAAUGCCUCGGAGGGACAGGUGUGCUAAGAGCAGAAGGCUUCGUGAGAGCAGGACAAGGAUGAACAAGAAUGAGAUUGGAAAGCUCUAGAAAAGCCACCACCUACCACCUAGCAAGGUCACACAUACCUGGAAAGCUCAGCACAUCACACACCUAACCCCGACCAACUGUGUACCUGGAAGGCAGCUCCAGGACUACAGACCACUCCUGUACAGUUUCCUAGAGAAUUCCCUCUCUGGUGGGUCCAAGGCUUGUACUGGCCCUUCUGUGGUCAAUGACAUGGCUGAGAGACAGAACUCAGCUCAAGGUCGCCCAGCACUGGCUUCAACCCACACUCCUCCUUUCCCUCUGUGCCUUCUUCAGUCUGAAUUCCCAGCAGAUGAGCUAAGAGCAGCAUGGACCAGGACUACCUAAGCUCCAGGAAAGGUGGAACAGUGGGGACCAGGAUUACCUUGGCUCCCACAAGGAUGGGACAUUUAAGCCAGCCCUUGAGAUACCUCUCUUCCUCCCAAGAAACAGACAUGAAUGUCUCCCUAAGUCUCCCUAAGACUGCAAAUGAGGACUCAGCCUGGAGGCCAGAUCCGGUGGGGGAAUCCAAUACAGGCCUGUGACUCCAAGGCACACUGGAGCUCCCACCCAAGGGAGCUACCCAUCUGGGGAGUCUCGGGUGUCAGUGCUACCCACCUAUGCACCAGGAAGUGGCACUAAAAGCCCCGUGAGAAGGAUGUCAGGAUGUCAACUCCCAGAACAUAGCAUCUCUGGAGCGUCUCUGGAGUUGUCUACUAGGUUUCACUACAGAAGUAUUAGGGCAGCAGACAGAGCUGUGAGAGGAGCUCUAGAGGCCAUUCGUGAGCAGGUAGCAAACGUGCCCGGGCUCUUCAAGGGCUGGAGGAGCACUAGGCGUAGGGGCUCCUCAGGUAGAAACUGCUGCUUGCCCCCAAUCAGACCUCAGCACACAGACAGCAGGUUACCAGCACAGAGGCAUGUCGAAGGCCCCCACUCCAAUUCCAACCUGUCUGGACAACUUCCCCUCCUAAGUGAAAGUUAAGACACAAGCGAAUAGAUCCCAACGAGUUGAUCUGGCUGGAACUCUGCCCAGUCAGGCUACACAGAUCUCAACUGCUUCAUGGGGAUCGGAGAGUGGGUACAAGCUGCUGCAGCAUCGAACCAGGCUGAGAGGUGCAGCCUCAACAGAUGCACGCAUGCAUGCAUGCAUGCAUCCAUGCACACACAUGCAUACACAUAUCCAAAUACCCCUGAGACCUCACCAUCAGUGUGUGCCUUAUCUUCCCACAGGAGUGUGACAGCUGUCACUCUGCAGGCUGGUUCCCACCUACCCUGAAGGGAGGUGUGUCCUGGGUGGGAGCAGCUGUGGCAGACUGGAUGCCAACUACAUAUUCCUGGGAGGAGCCAGGGGCUGCCUUGCUUCUAAUUCCUUGACACUUCAUCUUAAAGCUUAAAGGAAUGUGGGAACUGCCAGGCGAGGAGUGGGAGAAGCAACAGCCACUUCCUGUUCAAGCUCAGUCUGUGGGACAAUCCACAUGAGCAGCCCUCACCCCAAAGGAACCCCAGCCAAGCCAGGCAUGGUGACACAUGGCAAGACCCUGUCUCAAAAAAUGAAAGACAGACAGACAGACCAAGACAGGUCUGCCCACAGACACAAAUGCUGACAAGUUUUAACACAUGCCUUUUCAGCUAACACAGAGAGGAGCCAUGUCGUGCCAACCCUGGGCAGAGGUUCCAGGUGGCCAGUCUGGAAGCAAGCAUAUCACAUCCAGUUGGUUCCAUCAGUGCUGAGGGUCAAAUGUGGAUCAUGGGUCCCUCACCCAGCAGCUCAGGGGCCUGUCAACCCCCAGCAGCAUUUCGAGCCUGCUCAUGACCUGGUACUCCUGAAGUCAGAAGCUACCGAAGGCAGCGCCCUCAGCAGCGAACACAACCGCCAGGGCUGAUUCUCCUGGUCUGGGCAGCUCACACAGAGCAGGAGCCCAGGCCUGGAAAGUGAUCACCUGCGAGCCUUUCUCUGCCAUCCUAGCUUGCUAGUGUUAGCAGACAUGAGCAGCCAGUGACAAAGUGGACCUACGGAAGAAAUCAGAAUCUAAGUGGCAUCCUAGAGCAGAGCUCAUUGGCUGAGCAGGCCUCCCAACAACUGGCUGGGGUGCACUUGCUCCCAGCACAGGCCUCCUGCAACCAUCAGAAGU